GGAGGAGUGCCAGAGUGGUUGAAUGGGGCGGUCUCGAAAACCGUUGUGCUCGCGAGAGUACCGGGGGUUCGAAUCCCUCCUCCUCCGCCA
rnacentral:tRNA from 1 species